GGCCUUGUAUUCAAAAUUGAUUCUGGAUUGCAAAUCUAGAGGUGGAGCUAGUUAUGCUUCUAAGGCUU
rnacentral:tRNA from 1 species